GACGAACGCUGGCGGCGUGCCUAAUACAUGCAAGUCGAACGCUUUUUCUUUCACCGGAGCUUGCUCCACCGAAAGAAAAAGAGUGGCGAACGGGUGAGUAACGCGUGGGUAACCUGCCCAUCAGAAGGGGAUAACACUUGGAAACAGGUGCUAAUACCGUAUAACACUAUUUUCCGCAUGGAGGAAAGUUGAAAGGCGCUUUUGCGUCACUGAUGGAUGGACCCGCGGUGCAUUAGCUAGUUGGUGAGGUAACGGCUAACCAAGGCAACGAUGCAUAGCCGGCCUGAGAGGGUGAUCGGCCACACUGGGACUGAGACACGGCCCAGACUCCUACGGGAGGCAGAAGUAGGGAAUCUUCGGCAAUGGACGAAAGUCUGACCGAGCAACGCCGCGUGAGUGAAGAAGGUUUUCGGAUCGUAAAACUCUGUUGUUAGAGAAGAACAAGGAUGAGAGUAGAACGUUCAUCCCUUGACGGUAUCUAACCAGAAAGCCACGGCUAACUACGUGCCAGCAGCCGCCGUAA
rnacentral:rRNA from 1 species